GACGAACGCUGGCGGCGCGCUUAACACAUGCAAGUCGAACGGAAAGGCCUGCUUUCCCUUGUGGAUUGCGGGUACUCGAGUGGCGAACGGGUGAGUAACACGUGAGUGAUCUGCCCCCAACUUGGGUAUAAGCCUGGGAAACUGGGUCUAAUUCCCGAUAGGACUGCAGGGUGGUGCCUGUGGUGGAAAACGAUUUUCUAGUGGUUGGGGAUGAGCUCGCGGCCUAUCAACUUGUUGGUGGGGUAAUGGCCUACAAAGGCGGCGACGGGUAGCCGGCCUGAGAGGGUGGACGGCCACAUUGGGACUGAGAUACGGCCCAGACUCCUACGGGAGGCAGCAGUGGGGAAGAUUGCACAAUGGGCGGAAGCCUGAUGCAGCGACGCCGCGUGGGGGAUGACGGCCUUCGGGUUGUAAACUCCUUUCGACCGCGAGGAAGCCACCUGGUUGGAAGGGUGGUGACGGUAGUGGUAGAAGAAGCACCGGCUAACUACGUG
rnacentral:rRNA from 1 species